rnacentral:misc_RNA from 1 species
AACGCACAUUGCGCCCGCUAGUAUUCUGGCGGGCAUGCCUGUCUGAGCGUCAUUUCAACCCUCGCGCCCUGGCUCUCUCACGAGCCCGGAUGCGGUGUUGGGGAUCGGCCGCCCUCUAGCGCGCGCCGGCCCCGAAAUGCAGUGGCGGCCACGCCGUCGCCUCCCCCGCGUAGUAGAGCAACUCCACCUCGCGGGCGGAGAGCGGUGCGGCCACGCCGUAAAACCCACCAACUUUCUUUCUAAGGUUGACCUCAGAUCAGGUAGGGAUACCCGCUGAACUUAA